CCUUGGGUCAACGAGCGCCGAGAGCGACCGAGCAUCCCCGUGGUGAGGACGACGGUGCCAGGAGCAGCACGGAGAGUGAGAUAGCAUCCCCCGGAGGGUAGGAUCCCCACGGAGAGCGGCGGAGCAUCCCCGGGGUGAGAAAGGAAGACACGGACAGAGCAUCCCCCGAGGUAGCAAGCACCGAGAGCGGCCGAGCACCGCCCCAGAGCGAGGGACACGGAACCUGGAGCACCACGGGGACCCAUGGAGCAUCCACCCGGGUCAGCGGUGAAGAGGGUGCCGGGAUCGGGCGGGAGGAGCACGGACACCCACCGGAUCAUCCCCCACAGGGUAGGAAUCCCCACGGAGCAGCGAGAGCUGCGGAGCAUCCCCGGGGUGCGAAGGGAGGACACCGACAGAGAAUCCCUUGGGUCAACGAGCGCCGAGAGCGACCGAGCAUCCCCGUGGUGAGGACGACGGUGCCAGGAGCAGCACGGAGAGUGAGAUAGCAUCCCCCGGAGGUGAGAAGGGCGGACACCAACAGAGAA